rnacentral:lncRNA from 1 species
AAAAAAAAUAUAUUAUCAAAAGAGAGAGAGAUAUUACUUCUCUAAUUAUGAAAGAGAGAGGAAGCUUUGUUACAAAAAAGGGAGGCAAAGGAGGGAUUUUCCCACCUUAGUUGUCCCACGAAUGUAAAAGAGAUAAAGAGGGAUUAUUCAUCUCUGUUGUCCUACACUGUCAAAGGAGAUAAAGAGAGAAAAAUACUCCCUUAAUUCUCUUAUAUUUAAGAGGCAAAAGAAAUCAAUCAGAUUGUUGAUUGUUGUUCUUAUGAUCGACUUUAUAUUGGAAGAAUAAUGGUAUGUUCAUCGAACCCCUUAAUUCUAU